UACAGAGGAUGCAAGCGUUAUCCGGAAUGAUUGGGCGUAAAGCGUCUGUAGGUGGCUUUUAAGUCCGCCGUCAAAUCCCAGGGCUCAACCUCUGGACAGGCGGUGGAAACUACCAAGCUGGAGUACGGUAGGGGCAGAGGGAAUUCCGGUGGAGCGGUGAAAUGCGUAGAGAUCGGAAAGAACACCAACGGCGAAAGCAGCUC
rnacentral:rRNA from 1 species